GAAAAAACACGUCAGAAACCCGCCGUUGUUGGCUUGAAGUGUUGGCAUAACAGUUUUUGAACAUUUGUACAACAGAGGUGCACCAUGGCUUGCCACAAUGUCACAAUGGGUCCUUGGAGAGCCGCUGGUGGUGACGCGCUGCCUGUGUGCUCUCUGCUACAAUACACCACUCACCAAGUUCCAGAGGGAGAGGAUCACCAGCUACCACCAGCUGACUAAAGGAAGUGUUUCUAUUUAAGGAUGGAACAUGGCAACUGCACCAGCUGGGACAAACCUAGCCAACUAUUGUGUUAAGAUAUGGAGAAAGACAGACCAAGGCAAGAAGAGGAGGAGGAGGAGGAGGAGGA